UACGUAGGGUGCGAGCGUUGUCCGGAAUUAUUGGGCGUAAAGAGCUCGUAGGCGGCUUGUCGCGUCGUCUGUGAAAUCCCGCGGCUCAACUGCGGGCUGGCAGUCGAUACGGGCAGGCUGGAGUUCGGUAGGGGAGACUGGAAUUCCUGGUGUAGCGGUGAAAUGCGCAGAUAUCAGGAGGAACACCGGUGGCGAAGGCGGGUCUCUGGGCCGAUACUGACGCUGAGGAGCGAAAGCGUGGGGAGCGAACAGGAUUA
rnacentral:rRNA from 1 species